rnacentral:rRNA from 4 species
GCUGGAGGUAUCAGAAGUGCGAAUGCUGACAUAAGUAACGAUAAAGCGGGUGAAAAGCCCGCUCGCCGGAAGACCAAGGGUUCCUGUCCAACGUUAAUCGGGGCAGGGUGAGUCGACCCCUAAGGCGAGGCCGAAAGGCGUAGUCGAUGGGAAACGGGUUAAUAUUCCCGUACUUGGUGUUACUGCGAAGGGGGGACGGAGAAGGCUAUGUUGGCCGGGCGACGGUUGUCCCGGUUUAAGCGUGUAGGUGUGUGUUCCAGGUAAAUCCGGUU